rnacentral:rRNA from 1 species
AGUGAACGCUGGCGGUAGGCCUAACACAUGCAAGUCGAACGGCAGCACAGUAAGAGCUUGCUCUUACGGGUGGCGAGUGGCGGACGGGUGAGGAAUACAUCGGAAUCUACUUUUUCGUGGGGGAUAACGUAGGGAAACUUACGCUAAUACCGCAUACGACCUACGGGUGAAAGCAGGGGAUCUUCGGACCUUGCGCGAUUGAAUGAGCCGAUGUCGGAUUAGCUAGUUGGCGGGGUAACGGCCCACCAAGGCGACGAUCCGUAGCUGGUCUGAGAGGAUGAACAGCCACACUGGAACUGAGACACGGUCCAGACUCCUACGGGAGGCAGCAGUGGGGAAUAUUGGACAAUGGGCGCAAGCCUGAUCCAGCCAUACCGCGUGGGUGAAGAAGGCCUUCGGGUUGUAAAGCCCUUUUGUUGGGAAAGAAAAGCAGCAGGUUAAUACCCCGCUGUUCUGACGGUACCCAAAGAAUAAGCACCGGCUAACUUCGUG